AGGGAUGUAGCUCAGUUGGUCAAGUGCUUGCCUUGCAUGCAUAAGGCCCUGGGUUCAAUCCCUAGCACCACAA
rnacentral:tRNA from 1 species